UAAUGAGCAGCUAGUAGUCUCAUUUAGGGACAUUCACCUGCCUGGGCACAGUGGAGAUGAUUAGAUGAGAACCGGCCCUUUCAGGUUAGUACCCAAGGAUCCACUUUCUAAAAGGAGAGUGCCUGCACAGAUUAAUUUUUGAGCCAAGCUGGUCUUGCAAGGCUGGGUCUCUUCCCUCACUCUGCUCUUACUGCAUCCUCCACUGCAAAGCACCAGGCCGGGACGAGCAGAGGCAGACAUUGAAGCAAGAGUUUCUGGGAGGUGCUCUGUAGCUCCAUUAUCAUGUGAACAAUAAAAGAGGAUCCUUGGGCUGCUGAGAUGAUUCAGUGGAUACAGCUGCUUUCUGCCAAGUGGGAUGACCUGAAUAUGAUCCCUGGAACCCACAUGGUGGAAGGAAGAGAACCAACUUCCACAAAGCUGUCCUCUGACUCCACACGUAUUCUGUGACACGCAGACGUGCACCCGCGCACAUGCAUGCAUGCAUGCAGAAGCAAUAAAGACUGCUGUUUGAACGCUGUACUGUAGAAGGCACAGACUGAGAUGCUGGAUCAACUGCGCAUGCCUGUCUUUGUGACCGGCUGCUAUCGAUCCUUCCGAGCCCGUGUGCCACGCUGGAAAGCUGCAUCUAAGAGUUAAGAUUUACUGGCUUAAAAGCGUGUGUGUCGUGGGAUUGCGCGGUGGCUCAGAACUGACAUCCUAGCAGGCUCCUGGGCGAUGCAGAUGCUGGCAUUCUGGGCACUGCCCUUUGGAAAGCUAUGAUGACCACUGAAGCAGAACAGACCAAAGCAAAGAGGUGGGAAAGUCGCGAGAAGAUACAGGACUGGCUGGGAUACAUCAGGAAGAGGAGCUGCGAUGGAUGGGACUUCAAAUGGAAGUUGGUGAUUAUAUCCGUCCCAGCACCUCCCGCCUUGCAAGAGAGGCCUUAUAAAUCCUGGUCACAAGGAAGGGAAACAGAAGCUCAAGGAAGAGAGAGCCAUGGCUUCCUAGGUGUCAGUGAAGACCCAGACGCUGAAACUAUAACCGCCUAGUUCAGAAACCUAUACUUUGCUUGACCACAAUCCAAGCAGGGGGUGGGGAUGGGAUGUUUUUCUGCAGGGCUGGACAUAGAGUCAGUGUUCAGAGCACAUUGUUGGAGAGAGGAAGGAUGGGUGAGUGAAUAAGUGAAGAAAUGAAUGAGAGAACAGAACCACUUUGAGAGCCUGGAAACCGGGACCUCACGCUCUGUGACCUCACGCUCCAACUUCCCCUCCUCCCCGAGUCUGAUCUGAAAGGUGACCCCCGUUCCUCUCGCCCAGGUGAUAAAGCCAGGUGCAGGUGCACCUGUUACCCAAACCUGAUAUCCAAAUAGGAAGUAAGGCUGAGAUAAGGCUGUGGAGGGCAGUGCCUGGAAUCACGGGGUUGGGCUGGCCAUUGGCUUGAUGCCACAAGUGUCCACCGAGCCUCUCCUAAAGGUUGAGCUCUAUGCCAGGUUCCUUCAGGGUGAGGCAGGAAGCCACGCAGCUCCUGACCUCCAACAGCUUAUGGAAAAAAAAAAUACUUACAAACAGGAUGUGGGUCGGGCAAAGGGAGAAGUGUGAAGCAGGUGGCCAUUGCUCCCUGACAGCUCCAACAGGGAGUUGGGACUGAGAGAUGAGAAGAAAUGAGGCAGUAGUUAGUGAUGCCAGGGGAGGGGCCUGACCCUUGCACUGCCAUUGCUGAGGAAUAAGAGGUCCUUAAAGUUUAGCUCCUCAGACCCAGACCCCUCCCCAGUCCUCCUAC
rnacentral:lncRNA from 1 species